rnacentral:rRNA from 1 species
GAUGAACGCUAGCUACAGGCUUAACACAUGCAAGUCGAGGGGAAACGAUAGAGAAAGCUUGCUUUUUCUAGGCGUCGACCGGCGCACGGGUGAGUAACGCGUAUCCAACCUGCCCACCACUUGGGGAUAACCUUGCGAAAGUAAGACUAAUACCCAAUGACGUCUCUAGAAGACAUCUGAAAGAGAUUAAAGAUUUAUCGGUGAUGGAUGGGGAUGCGUCUGAUUAGCUUGUUGGCGGGGUAACGGCCCACCAAGGCGACGAUCAGUAGGGGUUCUGAGAGGAAGGUCCCCCCACAUUGGAACUGAGACACGGUCCAAACUCCUACGGGAGGCAGCAGUGAGGAAUAUUGGUCAAUGGACGAGAGUCUGAACCAGCCAAGUAGCGUGCAGGAUGACGGCCCUAUGGGUUGUAAACUGCUUUUAUAAGGGAAUAAAAGUGAGUCUCGUGAGACUUUUGCAUGUACCUUAUGAAUAAGGACCGGCUAAAUUCCGUGCC